ensembl:lncRNA
CAGAAAGAUCCUGACAGAGCAGAGCUCUCUUCUCUUCAAUCUUUUUGCUUGGAGGAGAAAUCUGUUUUUGGUGAUGUCUCGAGUAGGGGAAGAAGAGGCCAAGAGCCUAGCCUAGGUGUUGCCAAUUAAAGAUGCUUUCUUAAGUAAGCAAAUCUUGGCAGGGUGCCUAGACACAGCCCGUGAAGGCCCUCUGGCCUUUUGCAAAUACCCUGUGAAGAGAUAUUGCUCCGGCUAUAGAAGCUGAAGCCCAGAAAAAAAUGUCCGCUGUGGGCUGCUAUGGACUCCUCAUCAUUCAGAGAAAGGCAACUGGCCAGCGAGGAGUGGUUGUUAACAGCGGCUAAGUGUGGAAGGACAGUGACAGAAGAUUAGCCAUGAGCUAACAUCUGCUGCUAAUCCUCCUCCUUUUGCUGAUGAAGACUGGCCCUGAGCUAACAUCCGUACCCAUCUUCCUCUACUUUAUACAUGGGACGCCUGCCACAGCAUGGCUUGACUAGCGGCGCCGUGUCCGCACCUGGGAUCCGAACUGGCAAACCCUGGGCUGCUGAGAAGCAGAACGUGCGAACUUAACCGCUGCGCCACCAGGCUGGCCUCUCUUAGCAACUUUGAAGUAUAUAACAUGGCUCCCCCUGGGCCCGGCAGCUGAGGUCAGCUUGUUGUGCCGUCGGCUUUACAGGGAAGAUGGAGCAGAAGAACUGGAGCUGCUCCAGGGCGGGGACAAGACUGUCACCGGACACGCUCGCCAGAUACUGAGGCAACGUGCGACAGGUCGUUGCUCGUCCCUAGUCAGAGGGAGCUCAAAGUGUCAGAACUUGAGCGUUUCAAAUCACAACCCUGGGGGCUGGCCCUGUGGCCCAGUGGUUAAGUUUGUGCACUCCGAUUUGGCGGUGCGGGAUUUCGCCAGUUCAGAUCCAGGGCGAGGACAUGGCACCACUCGUCAGGCCGUGCUGAGGUGGCCUCCCACAUAGCACAACCAGAAGGACCACAACUACAAUAUACAACUGUGUACUGGUGGGCUUUGGGGAGAAGAAGAAGAAGAAGAAAAAAAAAGAAGAUUGGAAUAGUUGUUAGCUCAGGUGCCAAUCAAAAAAAAAAAGAAUUAAAAAAAGAACAUAAAAUAAAAUCACAACCCUACUUAUAAUGAAAGACUGGUGAGGCCUAAAUGUAUGAAUUAAAAGUAAAAUCGGGGCGGGGGGGCCAGCCUGUGGCAUAGUUGUUAAUAAGUUGUUAUUAAAAAGGUGACCAUAUAAUUUAUUAUCCAAACCAGGACACUUCUGAGAGUGAAAGGGGGUGUUAUUAAUAAUCUCUCCAGGACAACAGGGUAAACCAAGACUGCCAGGGAAACCAAGCUCGCACGCUCUGCUUCGGUGGCCCAGGGUUUACAGGUUUGGAUCUUGGGCACAGACCUAGAUGCUGCUCAUCAAGCCAUGCUGUGGCAGCAUCCCACAUGCAAAAUAGGGGAAGACUGGCACAAAUGUUAGCUCAGGGCCAAUCUUCCUCACCCAAAAAAGAAAAAAAAAAGUAAAAUAGGGAUAUUAUUCACCUCAGAGAAUUGCUUUGAGGAGUCAAUCAAAUAACUUGUGUGUGGGGUGUAGGACAGUCUGGCUCAUUGUAGGCCUCAAAAUGGUGGUUACCUUAUGAGUUUACUUCUAGAGAAUCUGCUGAGGAGACACAAUGAAUGGAGAAGAGUCACUCUGAAGCUUUUUUCUCUGUCGCCAAGGAGGCAAAUCCCUGACACCCCUUCUUAGACCCCAGAGGAUUCUUCCUUAAUGGCCAACAGCUCAAAUCCACUCAGAGGACUAGGUCAAUAUUUAGAUGGAAAAGAUGUCACUCCCUCCUCACCAAAUGUCAACAAAUAGAAGGGCAAAAAUGUUUUUUUUUUUAAAAAAGAAGUUUCCUACAAGAUUUGUGCCUAUUAGUAAAUUUCCAUAGCUAAUGAUUUUUGUCAGUAAAAAAAAAUCUUUGUGAAAUACAUAAUAAAUAUUUCAUUUUUGGCAGUGAUGCAUGUGAGAAAAAUGAUAACAAUCUGUUCUUCACUUGUUGUGUUUCUGGUACAUAAGGGAACAGUUUCACAAACCAGUAAGUAUGCUGGUACAGACGCCAAUUAAGAUCAAUCUUCUCAAACGAAAUUAGGUGAAGCCCGUGGGCUGUUAGCUAAU